rnacentral:rRNA from 1 species
GACAGGCGUAGGCGAUGGACAACAGGUUGAUAUUCCUGUACCACCUCUUUAUCGUUUGAGCAAUGGAGGGACGCAGAAGGAUAGAAGAAGCGUGCGAUUGGUUGUGCACGUCCAAGCAGUUAGGCUGAUAAGUAGGCAAAUCCGCUUAUCGUAAAGGCUGAGCUGUGAUGGGGAAGCUCCUUAUGGAGCGAAGUCUUUGAUUCCCCGCUGCCAAGAAAAGCUUCUAGCGAGAUAAAAGGUGCCUGUACCGCAAACCGACACAGGUAGGCGAGGAGAGAAUCCUAAGGUGUGCGAGAGAACUCUGGUUAAGGAACUCGGCAAAAUGACCCCGUAACUUCGGGAGAAGGGGU